rnacentral:rRNA from 1 species
GACGAACGCUGGCGGCGUGCUUAACACAUGCAAGUCGAACGGUAAGGCCCUUCGGGGUACACGAGUGGCGAACGGGUGAGUAACACGUGGGUGAUCUGCCCUGCACUUCGGGAUAAGCCUGGGAACCUGGGUCUAAUACCGGAUAGGACCACUGCCUGCAUGGGUGGUGGUGGAAAGCUUUUGCGGUGUGGGAUGGGCCCGCGGCCUAUCAGCUUGUUGGUGGGGUGAUGGCCUACCAAGGCGACGACGGGUAGCCGGCCUGAGAGGGUGACCGGCCACACUGGGACUGAGAUACGGCCCAGACUCCUACGGGAGGCAGCAGUGGGGAAUAUUGCACAAUGGGCGCAAGCCUGAUGCAGCGACGCCGCGUGAGGGUUGACGGCCUUCGGGUUGUAAACCUCUUUCAGCACCGACGAAGCGCAAGUGACGGUAGGUGCAGAAGAAGGACCGGCCAACUACGUGCCAGCAGCCGCCGCGG